rnacentral:rRNA from 1 species
UGGGGAAUAUUGGACAAUGGGCGAAAGCCUGAUCCAGCCAUGCCGCGUGUGUGAAGAAGGUCUUCGGAUUGUAAAGCACUUUAAGUUGGGAGGAAGGGCAGUAAGUUAAUACCUUGCUGUUUUGACGUUACCGACAGAAUAAGCACCGGCUAACUCUGUGCCAGCAGCCGCGGUAAUACAGAGGGUGCAAGCGUUAAUCGGAAUUACUGGGCGUAAAGCGCGCGUAGGUGGUUUGUUAAGUUGGAUGUGAAAGCCCCGGGCUCAACCUGGGAACUGCAUCCAAAACUGGCAAGCUAGAGUACGGUAGAGGGUGGUGGAAUUUCCUGUGUAGCGGUGAAAUGCGUAGAUAUAGGAAGGAACACCAGUGGCGAAGGCGACCACCUGGACUGAUACUGGCACUGAGGUGCGAAAGCGUGGGGAGCAAACA